AGUGCCCCCUCCCGACACGCGGCUCCAGCCAUAGGACUCUGUCAAAGGGGACAAAUCUGGGGAUCAGGAACAGACCGGUCACCCCUGCCGGUCACCCCUGCCGCAAGAACCUGUCACUUCAGCUGAGGCACGGGAACCUGUCGAGUCAGCUGUGGCGUGGGAACCUGACAGAUCGGUUGAGGCAGGGGAGCCUGGUGAUCCGGCUGAGGCAGGGGAGCCUGAAUCGACAGAAGACCCCAUGGUGGUGGCCGUGUGCUGACCAACCAACAGGAUUUGGCAGUGGUGGAAAUGGUGAGGACCAGGAAUGAUAUACAGCUGUCCAAAACAAAGGAGGCCAUUGAGGAGAACUAUGACACCUUUGCCAAUGUGGCAUCCAUCAGCCUACCAAACAUCGUCCGCCUUUUGAAGAGCCACCAGCUGUCACGGAAGACGGUGUGGUAGGACGUAUGCCAUUACUUGGAUCCUAUAACAUUGCACACCGCAUUGUGUUUCUCAAUUCAAUUGAGCAGGCCUGUUAAGGGGAAGGGGUUACCCAUUUCAAUGUUUGGGACAGUGUCAGGCUCAACGAUGCAGAGGUGGUUCAGGCAUGGCUUCGGGCCCAUCCCCGUUUGGUGACCCUAUACCUGCCCCCAUACUCUCCUUUCCUCAACCCUACUGAGGAAUUAUUUUCAGCAUGGAGGUGGAAGGUGUACGAUCGAUCAUCCCCAUGAGUGUGCCACCCUCCUUCUGGCCAUGGAUGAGUCAUGAGACGAGAUCAAUGCAGACCAAUGUCAAGCUUGGAAUUGCCUUGCCAAAAGGUUUCCCCCACGUCCUCCCGGUUUUGACCCUUGCCUGUUUUCUGGACUCCGUACCUGCCUGC